rnacentral:rRNA from 1 species
GACGAACGCUGGCGGCGUGCUUAACACAUGCAGGUCGAACGGAAAGGCCCUGCUUUUGUGGGGUGCUCGAGUGGCGAACGGGUGAGUAACACGUGAGUAACCUGCCCUUGACUUUGGGAUAACUUCAGGAAACUGGGGCUAAUACCGGAUAGGAGCUCCUGCUGCAUGGUGGGGGUUGGAAAGUUUCGGCGGUUGGGGAUGGACUCGCGGCUUAUCAGCUUGUUGGUGGGGUAGUGGCUUACCAAGGCUUUGACGGGUAGCCGGCCUGAGAGGGUGACCGGCCACAUUGGGACUGAGAUACGGCCCGGACUCCUACGGGAGGCAGCAGUGGGGAAUAUUGCACAAUGGGCGGAAGCCUGAUGCAGCAACGCCGCGUGCGGGAUGACGGCCUUCGGGUUGUAAACCGCUUUCGCCUGUGACGAAGCGUGAGUGACGGUAAUGGGUAAAGAAGCACCGGCUAACUACGUG